rnacentral:lncRNA from 10 species
CUGCAGUUUUAUAGAGAAUACAUUGAUUUGUAUGUAUUUAUUUGUAACCAUUAGCCAUUCUAAACUCAAGGAAGAUUUUUGUUUGUUUGUUUUUUCAGGGUUAAGAAACAGAAAAUAAUGAUUAAUUUUUAAAUCUCCCUUUUUGAAUAGUUAUAUUGCUUUUUACUUUAUUUUUCUGACUUAAACAAACAUCCUAAAUAAUGUUAAAUAAUAAUAGGUGAUAGUGGACAUCUGUAUCUUGUUCUCAAAUUUAGUGGUAAUGAACCUGGUGUUUGUUCGAAAUUGACUUCAGAUAUUCUUUACCAUGUCAAAACUAUUGCUCUAUUCCUUCUCUACUAUUUCUAGUUGAAUCCAGACAGUAUAGUAAAUUUAUUGUUAUCUGUUUUUUGCUCUGUUAAUCACUUAAUGAAAUGAUGUAAUGCAGUUAUCAACAUUUUCAGUAUUGAACCAUCCUUGCAUUUCUGGAAUGAAUCCUGCUUAGUCAUAGUGCAUUAUUCUUUUAAGAUACUUCUGGUUUGGAACUGCUACCAUUACAUUUAUGAUACUUGCACAAAUGAUAUUGCCCCACAUCAAUAUAUGACAAAUUCCCUUUCUUGGACCAAGCCAAACUACAUUUAAAAAGUAGGUAAACAAGGAAAGGCCUAGAUGAGGCUUCAGGAUCUAAUUUUUACUUAUUUUAGAGAGCCUGAUAAUUGUUCAUGUGACAAAGUGCUUAUAUCACAGUUUCUCAUUUUAAGGUCCUGCCCUAUUUUGGCAAAGCAUUGAAAGGAAGUACUAAAGCAUCACAGGGCAGUCUCAGUAAAAUAAAACUACAAUAAUACAGUAGUUAUACAAACUACAAUAAUACAGUAGUUAUACGGUAGUUAUACAAUAAUACAGCAGUUAUACAAUAAUACAGUAGUUCUGCAAUUGUAUACAGUAGUUAUACAACCAAGAAAACUACAAUAAUACAGUAGUUAAGUGUUUAUGGUAUGCCAUAUGAUACUAUACUUGACACUUUACAUAUAUUAGUUCUCCUCCUCCUCCUCCUCUUUGGCAGGACAACUUAUUGGAAUAUUAAUUAGUGUUUUCUAUAUGAUUGAUAGAAGGUUGGAAAAAAUGUGUAUGGAAUAUAUGUUCUUUUUCCCUGAGGGCAUUAUUAGAGGCUUUUGUGUUGCAGCCCUGAAAAGAGAAGACAUCUAACAAAAAUGCCCUUAUCUACUCCCACUCUCAGGCCUUUGUUUGAAGAAUGUAUUGAGAUAUUGAGGGAAGCUGGCAUAUGAAGUGGAGAAGGAGGCAGAACUGGCCCUACAUGUGCACACACGAACACUGCCUUCUACUGAGAUUGCAAGGUGCCAUGGAAGUAUCCUGGGUCUUUGUAUGCAGCCUAGAAAGGAGGUCUUCGGGAUAUAAUUCAAUUUCAUGAUGCAAUUAAGAAAGAAGUCUAAACCAAAGGACACUUACCGCACUGCAGCAACAUGUGGCUAUUUAUCUAGCGUGAUUUCACAGAGAAUUUUUAGGUCAUCCAGGGUUUCUGUGCCUGUAGUUUUUCAUCUCUCAAAAUGGGAUUCCUGACUCAUAGUGUGGGGCGAGGCUGAAAAUGCAUGGUAUAUAUGGAAAUGCUUUCUAACUGGAAGGUGACUAAGGACACAGGUACUGUGGUGUGGUCCUCAGAGCAAAUCCUUUGUGCUUCUUUCUUUUUUAUUAUACUUUAAGUUCUGGGGUACAUGUGCAGAACGUCCAGUUUUUGUUACAUAGGUAUGCAUGUAUAGGUAUGCGUGUGUCAUGGUGGUUUGCUGUAACCAUCAACCUGUCAUCUACAUUAGGUAUUUCUCUUAAUGCUAUCCCUCCCCUAGCCCCCCACCCCCUGACAGGCCCCAGUGUGUGAUGUUCCACUCCCUGUGUCCAUGUGUUCUCAUUGUUCAACUCCCACUUAUGAGUGAGAAUAUGCAGUGUUUGUUUGGUUUUCUGUCCUUGUGUUAGUUUAGUGAGAAUGAUGGUUUCCAGCUUCAUCCAUGUCCCUGCAAAGGACAUGAACUCAUUAUUUUUUAUGGCUGCAUAGUAUUCCAUGGUGUAUAUGUGCCACACUUUCUUUAUCCAGUCUAUCAUUGAUGGGCAUUUGGGUUGGUUCCAAGUCUUUGCUAUUGUGAAUAGUGCUGCAAUAAACAUACGUGUGUAUGUGUCUUUAUAGUAGGAUGAUUUAUGAUCCUUUGGGUAUAUACCCAGUAAUGGGAUUGCUGGGUCAAAUGGUAUUUCUAGUUCUAGAUCCUUGAGGAAUCACCACACUGUCUUCCACAAUGGUUGAACUAAUUUACACUCCCACCUUUUGGGUCCCUGGUGGUUGAAACACCUUGUAAGCAUCCUCCUCUUUCCUGCUUAACGAAUCAGCCUCAGGUGUCAGGAAGCUUAUGAUUUCUUUUUCUGCCCUGAUCUCUGCCCCUCUGAAAUUGCAGCAUUUUCAUGAUCUUCUUCCUUUCACAACUGCCAUCUUCUUGUUCUGAUACCAAGAGGCUGCUCAUAGAAAUUUUGAAAGUCAAAAUUCUCAGUUACAUAUUCCUGCUGCUUUGUAAACUUAACAACUGACUGAUGGCAUCCCAUAGGAAAGACUGCUCUUGCAAGCAACUGGCUCAACAACCUCCUCUCAUCAUUUUUCUCUUGCUUUCUGUGAAGACCUAGGGAGUUUGAAUGAAUCCCUUGUUUAGGGCUUGGGGAGGACAGCCCAGCUGGAGGGCCCACAGGGCUCAAAACCCAGCAGAUUCAUCAAGCCAGGCUCCCUAGAGGCAAGCCUAGGUCCAAAUACCUGGUUGUCUAUGUUGUACUCUCUUGUUUUUCCAAAUGCUGCUCUAUGUCUAACUUUAUUUUCAGAACAUUGUGAGAUAGGAAUAAUUUCCUGUUUUUCCAAAUUAGAAACUCAAGGCUCAGAGAGGUUCAGUAACCUCUCUGAAAUCACACAGGUAAGUGACAGAGCUGAAAUUCAAGUGCAAAUCUGCCUGACACCUAACCCCACAUUCUUUUCCCCAAUAACAAAGGACCUUCAGACAGUGAGGACAGUGAGAAUUAAGAUAAAUUUACAGGCUGAAUCCCAAAAAUAUUUUGCUUUGAUAGUAAAUAAAUUUUCCAAAUGAAAACAAAGUAUUAAUGAAUAAUAAUAUCUAAAACAAAGUAUUAAUGAAUAAUAAUAUCUUAAAGAAUUUUGAAUGCUGGGAAUGUUGGUGAUAGCGUUAACAAAAAUCAGCAGUUGCAUCAGCUGGGCAGUUUUCCUCCAGAAUAUUAUAGUCUCAAACAGCCAGAGGUUAUUUCUGAUUACAUCAGCAGCCAGGCAGAUCCAGUUUAGGAAUCUCGAAACCACAUAUGUGACUCACACGUCAUUGUUAUAACAGUAGGAAACACAUUAACUCUGCUUUAACAAGCGUUCAUUGAAAAGUCGGGUUUCCAGAAACCAGUUUCUUGGUGUACUUGGAGCACAUAAUCUAAGCCUUUUUCCUGAUGACAGUGUCCUUGCGUGAGGCUGUACAUUAUGGGACCUGACAGCUUAACAAGACAAUAUCUGCUUUUACAAACUCCGUGUCCUAGCACAUUCCAUUGAAGUUAUAGCAGGUGACUAAUGAGUAUUUCACCACCAUGAUAUUUUGAGUUGCAAGCUAUAGGGACUAUCAUUUGACUGAACAAUACCUUAAAAAUGUUUGCAAACAUUGUAAUAACAAAAUAUUUCUGUUGAAGUCAUAGAAAAGAGUUCCUUCGGUCUAGCUCAGAACUGUCAAUAAUGCUGGUCUGUUACAGACAUUUUUGAAUGAUGGAAGAUGGCACUUACGGUUUUCCAAAUACAUGAAGUUGAUUCUUUUUUUAAGCUGUAUAUGCUUAAAAUGAGAAUUUUUUCAUAGUUGGAUGACCAAUGUGGGGGUCUCAAAUACUUAUCCUCUGGUGUUGGCGUGGAAGUUGAAGACCCAAAGCAUAGUCUAGAAAAUGGAAACUGCAGGGGUCAGAAAUUAUUACACUUAGAUUCAGCCAAACUUGGUUUCCAUGUCACAUCCUACUUCUCUCCUGGCUACUUGAUCUAGGAAAAGUCACUGACCUUCUCUGUACCUUAGCUUUCAUGGGAAAAUAAUGAUACUUUACAGGAGAAUGUGUGAGGAUUAAAAUAAGGUGAUAGGUAGAAGGUUCCCAGUACAUAGUAAGUGCUCGAAAAUAUAGUCUCAUUCAUUCGUUUGUCUCCAUGGGAGCAGUGGACAACCAGAUAGAUAAACAGAGAAACAAGUUCUGAAGGCAAGAGACGAGGGCUGAUAGAGAAUGUGGAAGAGGAAAUUUGGUAGAACCUGAGUUACUGAAGGGGAAAGAGGAAGGACCCAGGAGCCCAGUCUUACUGAAUGCCUACCACUGUGUGCCAGAGAUUAGAAGGGGUGUCAGAGGAAACAGGAUAAACUCUUUUAAACAGACAUGAGAGUCCAACUUGUGUGGGCUGGUUUGACUUAAGAGUGAUGUUCCCUGGGGUUUUCUCUUGCCUGCCUUUUUAGGUGUUACAGGGAGAAGGUGAAAGGAACAUAUGCUUUUGUUUACUCCAGGGAGGAAAAAAAGCGAGAGAAAAUAAACAGGACCUAAUGCUGGGCCAUUAAAACUUGGAUAAAAUUGAAAUGGCAAUGUCUUGAGAUUUCCUUGCCAUGUUAUAGGUUCCUGGGCAUAAAAUGAUGGAGCACCAGGGGUCUUGUAGUUAUUAGUAGAAAAUUAAAUGCAAGCACACCCACAAAGAUAAAGACCUGAUUUGAUAGUCCUAUAGAUUUUGGAUUGUUUACUGUAAAGGGAAGUAAGAGCAGCUUUAUUUGGGUUUGGAUUUGUGUUUGCAGAGGAGUUUUAUGUGGGUGAUUUUGCAUAUAAUAUCUACCUUCCAAGAGAUGCCAUCAUCUGCAGAACGGAGAGACGUGCUCCAGACUUGCUUAUAAAAAUCUUUAUCAUCUUUUGGGAGGUGAUUGAUUUGACUAGUCUUGAUGGGCAGCUGGAUAGAAAAUUCUAGUGGAGGGGAUGUGACCAAGCUCAUAUGCCGACAGAGGCGCAGCAAACAAGACUUUGCAGCAGCCACUAUAAAGUGGCUUCAAGAAUUUACUUGAACAGUGUCCAUCGAAAUGUGAAUGUAUACCAAACAGCCAGUGUGGACUUAGACUGGAGGACUUAGACUGGAUUAUGCACUGGGGUGUGGCAUGAGGCAGAACCUUCCCAGUCCCACCCUACCCCAGAGUUUAUUAAAAGAUUGUUGACUGUUUCUUACUAUACAGAUACCAAGUAAGUUAUGUUAGAAGUACAUCACGUCUGGGCCAAUAAAACCCAUUGUUUGGGGAUGACACAAGUGAAUGAGUGGACAUGUUGAUGCUCUGGCCAGAUCCUCUCAGAUCCCUUUUACAUUUCUGUGUAUCCCUUCCCUGGCUUCUGGGUGCCUUUGUAUCUAACAG